GUCACAUUUUGGGGUCAAAGGUCACGAUUGGGGGUCAACGGUCGCUAUUUUGGGGUCAAAGGGCACACAUAUGGGGUCAAAGGUCACUUUUGGGGGUCAAAGGUCGCGAAUGGGGGUCAAAGGUCACAUAUGUGGGCUCAGGGGACACAGAUUUGGGGUCAAAGGUCGCCAAUAUGGGGGUCAAAGGUCACAUAUAUGGGCUCAGGUGACACAGAUUUGGGGUCAAAGGUCACAUUUGGGGGUCAAAGGUCACAAAUGGGGGUCAAAUGUCGCCAUUUUGGGGUCAAAGAGCGCCGAUAUGGGGUCAAAGGUCACCGAUAUGGGGUCAAAGGGUACGUAUAUGGGGUCAAAGGUCACAUAUAUGGGGUCAAAGGGCACCGAUAUGGG
ensembl:lncRNA